UCUUUUAUAAGGGAAUAAAGUGUGGGACGUGUCCUAUUUUGUAUGUACCUUAUGAAUAAGGAUCGGCUAACUCCGUGCCAGCAGCCGCGGUAAUACGGAGGAUCCGAGCGUUAUCCGGAUUUAUUGGGUUUAAAGGGUGCGUAGGCGGCCUUUUAAGUCAGCGGUGAAAGUCUGUGGCUCAACCAUAGAAUUGCCGUUGAAACUGGGGGGCUUGAGUAUGUUUGAGGCAGGCGGAAUGCGUGGUGUAGCGGUGAAAUGCUUAGAUAUCACGCAGAACCCCGAUUGCGAAGGCAGCCUGCCAAGCCAUGACUGACGCUGAUGCACGAAAGCGUGGGGAUCAAACAGGAUUAGAUACCCUGGUAGUCCACGCAGUAAACGAUGAUCACUAGCUGUUUGCGAUACAGUGUAA
rnacentral:rRNA from 1 species